rnacentral:misc_RNA from 1 species
UGUAACAGGACUUUUAACUGGCUGUAGAGCAGAAUGUCAAAAAGAUUAACAACAUACAGGUCACUUUUUCAACAUCAAUAAUAGUGCAACAGAGUAUGAAGAGAAGAGAAAGAUGAAUACAUACAAUUACACACAUCUAUGGCCACAAAAAGAGAUAAUAGUGGUGACAAAAUUGAGAAAAAAGAAUACCUGAACGUUGCUUUCUUCCAUCAA